ACACGACUACAUUAGAUACCCGUGUAGUCCCAGCCGUAAACUAUGCUUGCUAGGUGUCAGGGACGGUGCGACCGUUUCUGGUGCCGCAGGGAAGCCGUUAAACUCGCUGCCUGGGGAGUACGGUCGCAAGGCUGAAACUUAAAGGAAUUGGCGGGGAGCACCACAAGAGGUGGAGGCUGCGGUUCAAUUGGACUCAACGCCGGAAAACUCAUCGGGAGCGACAGCAGUAUGAUUGCCAGGUUGAUGACCUUGCUUGACAAGCUG
rnacentral:rRNA from 1 species